AUGGGGUUUCUCUCUGAAGCUGCUGGUGCUCAGGAACUCGGGACUCAGUGUCAGGCUGGCGGUGUCUUGCUGCAGAUGUUGGGGUUUGUUCUCUAUCUUUUCUUGAUGGUGGGAGGUGCUGCAGGACAGGGCGUGGAGCAGCCUGCCAACUUGAUGUCUGUGGAAGGAACCUUUGCUCAGAUCAACUGCACAUACAGGACUUCAGGGUUCAAUGGCUUAUCCUGGUACCAGCAACAUGAAGGCCAGGCACCUGUAUUUCUUUCUUAUGAUGUGUUGGAUGGUUUGAAGGACAGUGGGCGUUUCUCCACAUUCCUGAGCCGCUCGAAUGGGUACAGUUACCUGCUUCUGACAAAGCUCAAGAUCAAAGACGCUGCCUCAUAUCUCUGUGCUGUGAGGGACACGGUGACUCUGCUACCUCUGGAGCUGUACAGAAAUUCAGCAGCAGAGGUGGAGUUACAUUUCCUUAGUGUGCGUUUGCUGUGA